GUCGGGGUGGCUCAGCCUGGCGGAGCGCCGGACUCAUAAUCCGGAGGUCGCGGGUUCAAACCCCGCCCCCGACA
rnacentral:tRNA from 2 species